rnacentral:rRNA from 1 species
AUUGAACGCUGGCGGUAUGCUUUACACAUGCAAGUCGAACGGCAGCACGGACUUCGGUCUGGUGGCGAGUGGCGAACGGGUGAGUAAUACAUCGGAACGUACCCAGUAAUGGGGGAUAACUCUCCGAAAGGAUAGCUAAUACCGCAUACGCCCUACGGGGGAAAGAGGGGGAUCGCAAGACCUCUUGUUAUUGGAGCGGCCGAUGGCUGAUUAGCUAGUUGGUGAGGUAAAGGCCCACAAAGGCGACGGUAAGUAGCGGGUGUUAGAGGACGAUCCGCCACACGGGAAAGGAGACACGGUCCAGACGCCUACGGGAGGCAGCAGUGGGGAAUCGUGGACAAGGGGCGCAAGCCUGAUCCAGCAAUGCCGCGUGCGUGAAGAAGGCCUUCGGGUUGUAAAGCGCUUUUGUCAGGGAGCAAAGCCUUGUGGCUAAUACCCACCGGGGAUGAGAGUACCUGAAGAAUAAGGACCGGCUAACUACGUGCCAGCAGCCGCGGUAAAAC